UACAGAGGGGGCAAGCGUUAUUCGGAAUUAUUGGGCGUAAAGGGCGCGUAGGCGGCUUGGCAAGUGGAAGGUGAAAUCCCUCGGCUUAACCGAGGAACUGCCCUCCAAACUGCUUUGCUUGAGGCCGGGAGAGGUAAGUGGAAUUCCCAGUGUAGCGGUGAAAUGCGUAGAUAUUGGGAGGAACACCAGUGGCGAAGGCGGCUUACUGGACCGGUUCUGACACUGAGGCGCGAAAGCGUGGGGAGCAAACGGG
rnacentral:rRNA from 1 species